rnacentral:rRNA from 1 species
GAUGAACGCUGGCGGCGUGCUUAACACAUGCAAGUCGAACGGAGUUUAUACGGAAGGAGUCUUCGGGCAACGGAAGUAUAAAACUUAGUGGCGGACGGGUGAGUAACGCGUGGGUAACCUGCCUUAUACAAGGGGAUAACAGAGGGAAACUUCUGCUAAUACCGUAUAAAAAUAUUUCACGCAUGUGAGAUAUUGAAAGAUUUAUCAAUAUGAGAUGGACCCGCGUCUGAUUAGGUAGUUGGUGAGGUAGAGGCUCACCAAGCCGACGAUCGGUAGCCGAUCUGAGAGGAUGACCGGCCACAUUGGGACUGAGACACGGCCCAAACUCCUACGGGAGGCAGCAGUGGGGAAUAUUGGACAAUGGGGGCAACCCUGAUCCAGCGACGCCGCGUGAGUGAAGAAGUAUUUCGGUAUGUAAAGCUCUAUCGAUAACGGAAGAAGAUGACAAGCCGUUAAGGAAGAAGCCCCGGCUAACUACGUGCCAGCAGCCGCGGUAAUACGUAGGGGGCAAGCGUUAUCCGGAUUUACUGGGUGUAAAGGGAGCGUAGACGGCAAAUAAAGUCUGGAGUGAAAUCCCGCAGCUCAACUGCGGAGUUGCUUUGGAAACUUAUAAGCUGGAGUGUCGGAGGGGUAAGCGGAAUUCCCAGUGUAGCGGUGAAAUGCGUAGAUAUUGGGAGGAACACCGGAGGCGAAGGCGGCUUACUGGAAGAUAACUGACGUUGAGGCUCGAAGGCGUGGGUAGCAAACAGG